UUAAUGUCUCUAUGUCUUAUUUUUCAUUUUAGAUGAAGAUGUCUGUCAAUGGCUUCAGUCCAUCAAUUUAAUUGAUGGCAAAAAUAUAGUAUCCAUUACCUCUGACUAUCUUUAAGUGUCCAAUUUGUGAUGUAAAGUUUUACCUUCCCAAAUAUUUGCAACAUCUACAGCUACUUCAUCAGCAUCUUCCUGAUUUCUGUAUUGUUUGCAUUAUAUUUAAUGUAAUGAAGGUCUAUUGUCAUACUUGCAUUAACAGAACAGCAAAUUGAUGGGGAGACUGCUGGGGUUGACAGAGAGGAUGGUUGAACAACUGUUUCCUCUGAUGAAACACAGUCUUGUUUUUGAGAGGUGGAAAAGUUACGCAAAUCAUCGUUGGUUCAGAGACCCUGCUGGAGUGUUUUAGGAAUAAGUUCAGAAAGGAAAGGUCUCCUUUGAUAAACCUGACAACGGUGCAGGAGAUUAAGAGAGUUUGGUGUUAGAAGACAACGAAUUGUGGACCGUGUGCCUCUGGAGGACCCACCUGGACAUCAGGUGCCAUUUUUACAUUCUUGCUUGUCUUUAGCCUGUUUGUUUUCUCGUCUGUAUGUCUAUAUGCUAGCUAGUCACAGUAGCCACUGUUUGUCAGUACAGAUAUCUUAAUAUUACACAUUUCUCUUUGCUAAUUUCAGAGAGCAAAAAAGUACAGAGUGGGGGUCCAGAUGUCUUCUGAUUACGAGCCAACACAAGAGAUGAUGUUGGACCUUGAAGCAGUUGGGGAGGACUACCACAGCUUUCAAGAGCAUAUAAAUGCCAUAAACAAUUAGAUGUGCCGUCGUCAGCCAGAUAUUAGUCAUAUAAUGGACAGGAUGAGGCAAACUGUCUAUAAGAGGGUAGAGCAAAUGGGAAAGCCAACUGAGGAGGUGAUGGAGAUGUUCCAAUUUCUUUGGGUGCCAGAGCAGGUGAGUAGCAAAGUCUUAUAGUAGUAUUACUAUCAUUA